rnacentral:rRNA from 1 species
GAUGAACGCUGGCGGCGUGCUUAACACAUGCAAGUCGAACGAACCUUCGGGUUAGUGGCGGACGGGUGAGUAACGCGUGAGAAUUUGCCCUCAGGAGGGGGAUAACGGCUGGAAACGGCCGCUAAUACCCCAUAUGCCGAGAGGUGAAAUGAAUUUCGCCUGAGGAUGAGCUCGCGUUUGAUUAGCUAGUUGGUGUGGUAAUGGCGCACCAAGGCUUCGAUCAGUAGCUAGUUUGAGAGGAUGAUCAGCCACACUGGGACUGAGACACGGCUCAGACUCCUACGGGAGGCAGCAGUGGGGAAUUUUCCGCAAUGGGCGAAAGCCUGACGGAGCAACGCCGCGUGAGGGAUGAAGGCCUUUGGGCUGUAAACCUCUUUUAUCAAGGAAGAAGAUUUGACGGUAAUUGGUGAAUAAGCCCCGGCUAAUUCCGUGCCAGCAGCC